GGUUAGCCAGGCAUAUACAGAUCUGAGGAUCGAGGUUCAAAGCCAGCCUGGGCAGGAAAGUCCAUGAGACUCUUAUCUCGGAUUAACCAUCAGAGAACCGGAAGUGGCUGCUAUGGCUCAAGUGGUAGAGCAUUAGCCUUGAACA